GUUUGCACUUGUCGGGGAAGGGUGAGAACCUUCGAUUAAGGUUCGACUUGAGCGAAAGCGAGAGAACGUUGCCAACGGCAACGGCCCGUAG
rnacentral:sRNA from 1 species